UAUAAGUUAGUGUAACUGAGCACGUAAAAAUUUGAGUUUUACAGAAGAUUUCCUCUACUUAUAA
rnacentral:tRNA from 1 species